AAUGCCACAGACGGUCAGGAUUACAAUCUGCCUAUUCUGAUUCUUCUACUAUGGGAAAAAAUCUUUUCCAGAAUUGAUGUAAAGCCUCUGUUAGUACUUUUCCUGUUAACAACCUAACUAUUCAACUGCUGAAUAAAAACCAUUAGGACAACUAAAGUAACAGAAACUGAGAGAUUUUAGCAAGAAAUAGUCAUUCCAAUAUCAAUGACUAUGGAGGAAAUGCAAUUACUUUUCUUUGCUUAAGUUGUCCUGGUUUGUGUUCUUAAUUAUGAGCCAUAGCAUUUAUAAUAACCCGAGAAUGUACCAUUUUUAUACAAGAAUUAAAUAAUAGCCCAAAUUAAGUAUUUGGCUCUUAGGAAUUUGGGAACUUUUGCAAAAUGAUAACAUCUUUCAUAAAAAAUAAAUGUUGUAAAACUAAAUUUUGUAAAAUUAAUGUUGUAAAAAUAAAUUUAGCUUUCUGAAA
rnacentral:lncRNA from 1 species